rnacentral:lncRNA from 1 species
UACAUUCCCAUGCAUGUUUUAACAAAGUUUUAGUUACUUUGUUACUUUGUUUUCUUUGUUUCCUUAUUUCUUUCUUCAUGUUAUUUUGUUUUGUUGUUUUAAAUAACUGCUUAUAUUGCAUUUACCCUUUUAAGUUUCAUCUUCUUCCAUCAUUGCAUGCAUCCUGCAUUCAUAGUUACUAUUCAUAAGCACUAUUCAUAAUUAUUUCUGUAGAAUUACUAUUUCGCAAAAAUACUAUUUGGAUAAUA